UACGUAGGGGGCAAGCGUUGUCCGGAAUUAUUGGGCGUAAAGCGCGCGCAGGCGGCUUCUUAAGUCUGAUGUGAAAGCCCACGGCUCAACCGUGGAGGGUCAUUGGAAACUGGGAAGCUUGAGUGCAGAAGAGGAGAGUGGAAUUCCACGUGUAGCGGUGAAAUGCGUAGAUAUGUGGAGGAACACCAGUGGCGAAAGCGGCUCACUGGACCAUAACUGACGCUGAUGCACGAAAGCUGGGGGAGCAAACAGG
rnacentral:rRNA from 1 species